CAAUCCUCAGUUAAAUACCUUGGGGCUAAACUCUUGCAGGGACAGAGAAACCUCCCUGACUGGAAGAAAGUUUUUGCUAGAGCUGCCAGGCCUAGGAUGUGGCAGCAGCUAAGGAAUUUUUGAGGCCUGGCUGUGUUCUGCCACAUUUGGAUCCACAACUUCAGACUUAUGGCAAAGUUGUUGCAUCAUGUUUUAAAUGGUGGAUAUAAUGAUAACCCAAACUUCACACUUAAUGCCUGUAUCAAAAUAUCUCAUGUACCUCAUAAAAAUAUAUACCUACUAUGUACCCACAAAAUUUAAAAACAUAAAAAAUAUAAAAAGGGAAUAUAACAAAGUGUUAAAAUGAACUGGGAUUGCUAAAAAGCUUAUUUGACCAUUAAAGAGAAGCUGAUAGCAGCUCCAGUAUUAAGACUCCCCAGUAUAAAGAAGCUGUUUGACCUAUUUCUACAUGAAAGACGAGGAACAGAAUUAGGAAUGAUAACCCAGUAUUUAGGGAACAUCAAGAGAACAGAUGCCUACUUCACAAACAACUGGGCACUGCCACAAGGGGAUGGCCAACUUGCCUUAGGGCUAUUGCUGCCAGCUGUGAUUUUCUUUAGGAAGCAGAAAAGUUUAUUCUGGCCCAAACAACUAGUGUGCAUGCACCCCACUAUGUACAUCCAUUACUGGGACAAAAAGGAAGCUAUUGGUUGACCUCUAGAAGCCUAGGUCAAGAUUAAGUUAUCCUCCCAAGUAACCUAAAUGUGAUGUUGAGAGCUGUUAUUACUUUAAAUUCCACCACCUUACUCCCUCAGAAAGCAUCUAAACCAAUGUAUGACUGCUUACAAAGUAUCCAACAAGUUUAUUCUAGCUGGCCAGAUUUGACUGACAUACUAUUGGAAGAUCCAAAUCUGUGAGAUGCUCACAGAUGGAUGUAGCUUUAUGGACCAGCAACAACAACAACAAAAAGGCCAGGUAUGCUGUGUUGAUACACCAGUAAGUUUUGGAAGCUGAGUCACUUCUCCCAGAACAUCACAGAUAGCAAAACUCAUUAACCUCACCCACAUCCUGCAACUAGGUAAAGAUUACAAAUGACUAGCUACACAGAUUCCAGGUAUGCCUUCUCUGUUAUCAUGUGGCGAUUUGAAAAAAACAAAAGAGGGAUUUUUAACAAAGAAAUUAAGCAUUCUAAAGAGAUUUUAGCUCUGCUAGAGGCAGUCAUGGUCCCCAAAGAAGUGGCUGUAGUUCAUUGCCCUGGGCAUCAAUAGACAGUUUGUUAGCAAAAGACAAUAAUCAGUUAGACAAGGAUGAAAAGACAGCAGCAAGAGAAAAGGUCCCCCAAACUUUACUAAUGCCAUUAACACCUGGAAUAAUCCUUGACCUUGAACUGCCUGCAUACUCAGAGGAGGACUUAAAAGAGCACUCAAUUGGAGUUUUGAGCCUACUUGAAAAACACAGGAUGGAGGGAUACAUAACCAAGAGGGGAUAGUUUUAGUGUCUGAAUGCCUCAUGGGUGGCAUUGCUGGACAUACCCAGGGCACCAGUUAGUACAUAGGUGGGAGACCCAUUUCCAUUGGAUUCAGAGAUAUAUUGUUGACCCAUGUAUGAGUAAGAUUUUUCACAUUUAGCGCAGCGAGUUUGAAACUGCUCGCACUUUGCUUCAAAGCCGGCUCUUGGAAGUUGAGCAGAAAGCAACGCGGCUGUGGUAGUUGCCUCUGCGGCUGCCAUGGGAUGAUAAGCCAGGUAGAGUGGCUUGUGUCAGGGUUGCACCUAGAGGCUGGCCCGGGGCCCUCAGAGGGAUCUACCAUACCUAUUGACUAACUAUGGAAGAUUAUACUAAAAUAGAGAAAAUUGGAGAAGGUACCUAUGAAGUUGUAUACAAAGACAGACACAAAACUACAGGUCAAGUCAUAGCCAUGAAAAUAAUCAGACUAGAAAGUGAAGAGGAGGGGUUCCUAGUACUGCAUUACAGGAAAUUUCUCUAUUAAAAGAACUUCGUCAUCCAAAUAUAGUCAGUCUUCAGGAUGUGCUUAUGCAGGAUUCCAGGUUAUAUCUCAUCUUUGAAUUUCUUUCCAUGGAUCUGAAGAUACUUGGAUUCUAUCUCUCCUGGCCAAUACAUGGAUUCUUCACUUUUUAAGAGUUAUUUAUACCAAAUCCUACAGGGGAUUGUGUUUUGUCACUCUAGAAGAGUUCUUCACAGAGACUUAAAACCUCAAAAUCUCUUGAUUGAUGACAAAGGAACAAUUAAAAUGGCUGAUUUUGGCCUUGCUGGAGCUUUUGGAAUACCUAUAAGAGUAUAUACACAUGAGGUAGUAACACUCUGGUACAGCUCAUCAGAAGUAUUGCUGGGGUCCGCUGGUUACUUGACUCCAGUUGACAUUUGGAGUAUAGGCACCAUAUUUGCUGAACUAGCAACUAAGAAACCACUUUUCCAUGGGGAUUCAGAAAUUGAUCAACUCUUCAGGAUUUUCAGAGCUUUGGGCACUCCCAAUAAUGAAGUGUGGCCAGAAGUGGAAUCUUUACAGGACUAUAAGAAUACAUUUCCCAAGUGGAAACCAGGAAGCCUAGCAUCCGAUGUCAAAAACUUGAAUGAAAAUGGCUUGGAUUUGUACUCAAAAAUGUUAAUCUACGAUCCAGCCAAAAGAAUUUCUGGCAAAAUGGCACUGAAUCAUCCAUAUUUUCAUGAUUUCACAAUCAGAUUAAGAAGAUGUAGCUUUCUGACACAAAGUUUCCACAUCUUAUAUCAAGAACAGAUAGUUGCAUUUUUAUUGUUAACUCUAUUUUUGUCUUAUAUAUUUCUCUGUUGUCAAACUUAAGCUGUACUUCAUCUUCUAAUUUCAAAAGUAUAACUUAAAAUAUAAAUAUUCUAUAUGCAUUUAAAUAUAAUUCUGUAUAUGUGUGUCGGUCUCACUGUACCAACUAUUUGUUACUAUAAUAAAACUAUAAUAUUGAUGUCAGGAA